rnacentral:rRNA from 1 species
CCAAUAGCGUAUAUUAAAGUUGUUGCAGUUAAAAAGCUCGUAGUUGAAUUUCGGGGUCAGUAGGUUGGUCAUGCCACUGGUAUGUACUGGUCUCACUGAUUCCUCCUUCCUGAUGAACUGUAAUGCCAUUAAUUUGGUGUUGCAGGGAAUCUGGACUGUUACUUUGAAAAAAUUAGAGUGUUUAAAGCAGGCUAACGCCUGAAUACAUUAGCAUGGAAUAAUGAAAUAGGACGUUCGAUCCUAUUUUGUUGGUUUCUAGGAUUGACGUAAUGAUUAAUAGGGAUAGUUGGGGGCAUUAGUAUUCAAUUGUCAGAGGUGAAAUUCUUGGAUUUAUUGAAGACUAACUACUGCGAAAGCAUUUGCCAAGGAUGUUUUCAUUAAUCAAGAACGAAAGUUAGGGGAUCGAAGAUGAUCAGAUACCGUCGUAGUCUUAACCAUAAACUAUGCCGACUAGGGAUCGGAUGAUGUUAAUUUUUUAAUGACUCAUUCGGCGCCUUACG